rnacentral:rRNA from 1 species
AACGAACGCUGGCGGCAUGCCUAACACAUGCAAGUCGAACGAGACCUUCGGGUCUAGUGGCGCACGGGUGCGUAACGCGUGGGAACCUUCCCUUAGGUUCGGAAUAACUCCCCGAAAGGGGUGCUAAUACCGGAUAAUGUCUUCGGACCAAAGAUUUAUCGCCUUUGGAUGGGCCCGCGUUGGAUUAGCUAGUUGGUAGGGUAAAAGCCUACCAAGGCGACGAUCCAUAGCUGGUCUGAGAGGAUGAUCAGCCACACUGGGACUGAGACACGGCCCAGACUCCUACGGGAGGCAGCAGGGGGGAAUAUUGGACAAUGGGCGAAAGACUGAUCCAGCAAUGCCGCGUGAGUGAUGAAGGCCUUAGGGUUGUAAAGCUCUUUUACCCGGGAUGAUAAUGACAGUACCGGGAGAAUAAGCGCCGGCUAACUCCGUG